AGAGUUUGAUCCUGGCUCAGGACGAACGCUGGCGGCGCGCCUAACACAUGCAAGUCGAACGAGCGAGAGAGAGCUUGCUUUCUCGAGCGAGUGGCGAACGGGUGAGUAACGCGUGAGGAACCUGCCUCAAAGAGGGGGACAACAGUUGGAAACGACUGCUAAUACCGCAUAAGCCCACAGCUCGGCAUCGAGCAGAGGGAAAAGGAGCAAUCCGCUUUGAGACGGCCUCGCGUCCGAUUAGCUGGUUGGUGAGGUAACGGCCCACCAAGGCGACGAUCGGUAGCCGGACUGAGAGGUUGAACGGCCACAUUGGGACUGAGACACGGCCCAGACUCCUACGGGAGGCAGCAGUGGGGAAUAUUGCACAAUGGGGGAAACCCUGAUGCAGCGACGCCGCGUGGAGGAAGAAGGUCUUCGGAUUGUAAACUCCUGUUGUUGAGGAAGAUAAUGACGGUACUCAACAAGGAAGUGACGGCUAACUACGUGCCAGCAGCCGCGGUAAAACGUAGGUCACAAGCGUUGUCCGGAAUUACUGGGUGUAAAGGGAGCGCAGGCGGGAAGACAAGUUGGAAGUGAAAUCUAUGGGCUCAACCCAUAAACUGCUUUCAAAACUGUUCUUCUUGAGUAGUGCAGAGGUAGGCGGAAUUCCCCGGUGUAGCGGUGGAAUGCGUAGAUAUCGGGAGGAACACCAGUGGCGAAGGCGGCCUACUGGGCACCAACUGACGCUGAGGCUCGAAAGUGUGGGUAGCAAACAGGAUUAGAUACCCUGGUAGUCCACACCGUAAACGAUGAUUACUAGGUGUUGGAGGAUUGACCCCUUCAGUGCCGCAGUUAACACAAUAAGUAAUCCACCUGGGGAGUACGACCGCAAGGUUGAAACUCAAAGGAAUUGACGGGGGCCCGCACAAGCAGUGGAGUAUGUGGUUUAAUUCGACGCAACGCGAAGAACCUUACCAAGUCUUGACAUCCUGCGACGGACAUAGAAAUAUGUCUUUCCUUCGGGACGCAGAGUCAGGUGGUGCAUGGUUGUCGUCAGCUCGUGUCGUGAGAUGUUGGGUUAAGUCCCGCAACGAGCGCAACCCUUACUGUCAGUUACUACGCAAGAGGACUCUGGCAGGACUGCCGUUGACAAAACGGAGGAAGGUGGGGAUGACGUCAAAUCAUCAUGCCCUUUAUGACUUGGGCUACACACGUACUACAAUGGCGUUAAACAAAGAGAAGCAAGACCGCGAGGUGGAGCAAAACUCAGAAACAACGUCCCAGUUCGGAAUGCAGGCUGCGACUCGCCUGCACGAAGUCGGAAUUGCUAGUAAUCGUGGAUCAGCAUGCCACGUGAUACAUUCCCGGGGGGUACACACCGCCCGUCA
rnacentral:rRNA from 1 species